CCCAUAACAAUUAUUUGGAGAAACCAAAAGAUAUUAAAUCACAAAAGUAGAAGCAAAAGAAUAUGUCUAUGUACCUGGUUUUAUAUAAUUUCUUUUCUGUUCUUUAAUUUUUCAUUAUUGUGAUCUCCCAUUUCUUCGAUCGAGCUCAAUAUGGGCACCCAAGAGACAGAAGCUAAACAAGAAAUGGUGAAGCCGAAACAAGAAAAUGAAAUCAUUUUACACAAGAAAAUGUAUGGUCGGAUCAGAAUUUUACUGUACCUUUCUAUUGAAGAUCUUGAGGAUGCAUUUUUUAAUUAAUAAAAAAGAAAAAAACAAGGGGAAAAAGAUAAUCACAUAGGAUUAUAAUGGGUUAAUAAUGCAAACUGCAUAUGCAAUAGCCCUAGAUAGAAUUCAUCCUUUUCCAUUUUCAACUUUGCCUUCGAAAACUUUAGAAUUGUAUAUUCCAAUCCACCAGGUAAAAAGUAUAAAUUGUUUUAUAUUUCCAAGGAGGCAGGAAAAGGAAGGAAAGUUAGACAUUCUAUACCUAACAAGUUAACACUACAAGACAAAGCUUUGACGGCCACUAAAAUCCAUAAAAUAGAUAAUAUUUGAAUACAGAUUCUGAAAACCUUG
rnacentral:lncRNA from 1 species